rnacentral:misc_RNA from 1 species
AAGUCGUAACAAGGUAUCCGUAGGUGAACCUGCGGAUGGAUCAUUAAAAGUAUCUAAUACUUUACACUCUCGUGAACUUGUUUCUUAACCAUGUGUAUGUGGUGAGGAAAGGCCUUCGGGUUGAGUACUUGCUAUAUGCAUAUUUCAUUACACUAUUUAACCCUUUGUAUCAACUUGAAUCAAUUUGGCUAUGCGGGAAACUGCAUAACUAAAAAAUAUAAGAAAUUUUCGUG